CCACAGGAAAUAAUGAAGCACUAGCCAAUUGCUGCUUCACUAGGACACUGUCACAGCCUGCCUCCCUUCAAUAUACUAAAUGGUUGUGUGAAAUGGGUGCAAUUAGGUUUCACAAGUUUAAUCCUAUAGUAUAAAGAUCCAUGGCUCGGUUUGCACCUUGCAAUGGAGAGCUGGAAAUGGUGCAUUUGUCUCAAAUGCCUGAUACUCUAAUAUACUCCAGUAUUAUUUUAAUGUGUACAUUCAAGUCUCUGGCACAGGUUCUCCCAGUGCUGGCAACUAAUGGGCCCUCUGACAUUUGCCAAGUUGGAAAACAAUGUCCAUCUAUCUGUUGCAUUUUCACCAUAGUGGGUUAUGAAGCUUGUAUUCAUAGACUGUUAAAUUGUCAACCAAAACUGAUGUGAUGCCCAUGCAUAAUGCAGAGAUAUUGUCUUCAUUGUGCUUUAGCUUAAGGGCUUGGAUGUGCUUUCCAUUUUUCUGAUAUGUAUCCUAGGGCAAUUUUUAUGCACCCCACACCAUCUUUUAUGCCAGAAGCCAGGACUGCCGAGCUGCCAGGGCUGGACUUUGGUGGGGCAUUUGCCAAGAGAGUGUCAGCAAGCAGUGUUGAUGACCAGGGGGAAAAACAACAACCCUAAGCUUGGCUUAUAACACUUUUUGUUAUAAUUGCUGAUAUGGGUGGGUGGUGGGUGGGUGCAAUCGUUCUGAAGCCUAGAAGUAUAUCACAGCUCAGGGAAGCCUUCAACACAUAUGGAGAAGUUCCACAUGGAUCCAUAGGUUUCCACUGUAGCCCUAGCAGUUCCUGUUGUACACAAUGGAUGUGUAUGUUCAGUUUGCUUGGUUUCAUUUUCAACAGCUACAUUUUCCUUUGGCAGAGUCAGCCCUAUAGUGUAGAAGUGGCUUAACACAAAAGAUAGUGUGCUCUGUAUCGGGCAGGUGCCAGCUAUUAGACCAAGACAGACUGUCUGCAUGAUGCCAUCUUUAAUCAUGCUGUAAAUGUCCUGACAUUUGUUGUAAGGUGGCAGUGCCAAAGACACCUGUCUUGCCAGGAGGCUAAGGAAAAUUAAUCUGGAGGUAGACUGGAAGGAAAUUCUUUUGAGCCACUGCAACUAUUUGAUUCAUUUUUCCUUUUCUUUUUUUAACCUUGUAUGAGAAACAUGGGAUGGAAAGUCCAAAUAGCUUAUGCAGUUAUUGAAUACAUGAUUAGGUUUCCUGUGCUUGUUGCAAUGAAAAUGCAGAUUAUAGAUGAGCUUUCUUUAAUUUUAAUAGGAUCCCAAAGGUAUUCCUGGAUGCACUCUGAAAUAUCAAACAUAUACAAAUACUUAAUAACUCUUUACUGUGAAUUUAGAUGUCUACUGAGUUGCUAAUUUGUUUUUAAGAGCUCUUGGAAUAUUGCACAUAUGAAAGGUGAAUAGUGUUGAGAUAGCAUCAAGAUGUAACAAUAUUUUCCCCCAUUUUUAAGCAAACCAAUUAUUCACAUUUUCCAAAUGUUAUAGUCAUAGACAGUUAAAUUGUGACCAGGUGUAAUUCAAACAUUUUGUAUAUUAGUUUUUGGUCAUGGUUUGAAUGAUUCCUUUAACAUGACUACUCAGGCUAAUCAAAUUACACAACUAAUGAGUUGUUGAUUGGUCUUACUAAUUUAGAAAGUCACUCAUUCAUGUCCACA